AGAGUGAAUGGGGAGGGGGGAGAAACAGAGACAGACAUGGAGAGAACAGCUGACCUGCUCGCACAGGAAAUCCCACCCCACUCUGAGCCCAGCCCUCUGUGACUGAGUGGGGAGCAGCCGGCUUAAGGGUAGAGCUGCAGGAUGGUUACUGUUAUACUCAGAGUCUGUCAUAUCAUUCCACACACAGGUCUCCUGAAGUGGCUGCAGCUCCUUAUGCAGAUCUCGUAGAGCAGGAAAGAGACAUCCGGGAUGAUGCAGCGGCAAGAUACUAAGAAGGGAGGGCUGGACUGGUGGACCGGCAGGACCAGACCAAUCGACCGCUGGGAAGUACACAAGAAGUCACACAAAAUUACAAACAUCUGGGAGAUCCUACAUUGAUUAUCUUCAUACAACAUACCAGUGAUUCAACACUAAUGGCAUACGUAUAAUGAAUCCAUUCUCUGAACGAAACCUACACUCAUCCUGUAAGGUUUCAGCCUAGAAUUAAUGAUCACUACUUUCAGGUCACAC